rnacentral:rRNA from 1 species
GACGAACGCUGGCGGCGUGCUUAACACAUGCAAGUCGAGCGGUAAGGCCCUUUCGGGGGUACACGAGCGGCGAACGGGUGAGUAACACGUGGGUGACCUGCCCUCAGCUCUGGGAUAAGCCUGGGAAACCGGGUCUAAUACUGGAUAUGACUCCAUGACGCAUGUUGUGGGGUGGAAAGCCUUGUGCGGCUGAGGAUGGGCCCGCGGCCUAUCAGCUUGUUGGUGGGGUGAUGGCCUACCAAGGCGACGACGGGUAGCCGGCCUGAGAGGGCGACCGGCCACACUGGGACUGAGACACGGCCCAGACUCC